GGUUAAGUUAGAAAGGGCGCACGGUGGAUGCCUUGGCACUAGGAGCCGAUGAAGGACGGGACUAACACCGAUAUGCUUCGGGGAGCUGUAAGUAAGCUUUGAUCCGGAGAUUUCCGAAUGGGGAAACCCACUGUUCGUAAUGGAACAGUAUCUUUACCUGAAUACAUAGGGUACUGAAGGCAGACCCGGGGAACUGAAACAUCUAAGUACCCGGAGGAAGAGAAAGCAAAUGCGAUUUCCUGAGUAGCGGCGAGCGAAACGGAAUUAGCCCAAACCAAGAGGCUUGCCUCUUGGGGUUGUAGGACACUCAACAUGGAGUUACAAAGGAACGGGGUAAAUGAAGUGAUCUGGAAAGGUCCGUCAAAGAAGGUAAAAACCCUGUA
rnacentral:ncRNA from 1 species